UAUAUUUUUAAUUAUAUUUCUUAUGUCAUAACUUUUAGUGUUAUAAUUUAUUUUUUGGUAGGAUUUUUGAAAAUUUAUAUUCUGAAUUGUCGACACAUGAGUUUGAUCUGUUAUGCCAAGAAGAAUUCACACCAUGGUUCAAAUCAUAUGUAAGUAAACACUUUAAAUUUGGUUAAUACAUAUAUAGACUUUUAACAAUUACUGUAUUUGAUUUUAGGUUCAUGAUAAUCGAGCUCACCUUGAAAAAGAAAUGUUAUUCCAUCUUUUAUGGAGUCCAAAAGCAUGGGUACGCACUUGGCCAACUUAUUUUAUAAAUGGUUAUAAUUUUCAUACUCAAGAGUAUGGGAUGGGGAAGAGUGCAAUGAAUAGUGGGGUUUGUGUCCAAUCAUCCAAUGAUGGAGGUGUAAGCGAUGAUUUUUAUGGUUUGCUGGAUGAAAUUAUAGAGGUAGAAUAUCAUGGGCCAGAAAUGUGAGUAAUAUUAUUUAUGUGUCGCUGGUUUGACCCUAUCAGAGGGAUGAAGGUGCAUCCACGAUAUAAUUUGGUUGAAAUAAAUCAUAAGAGAUUAUAUAAGAAAUAUGAACUAUUUGUGUUGGCACAACAAGCAAUUCAAGUAUUUUAUGUUUUAUAUCCUAGUUUGAAACAUGGCAAAAUUGAUUGGUGGGCGGUUUGUAAAACAAAAGCAUGGAAAAAAAAUUGAAGCGCAUUGGGAAGACACAGCAAGAGAAAGUUGUGAAUACAUUUCAGACCGAGGAAUAUAUAUUAUUCCAACAUUACGAGAUCCUAGCGGAGUAGUGAUACACGUGGAUGCAAAUGAAAUUGAUGAUGAUGUGGAGGAAGAGGAAGAGGAAGAGGAAGAGGAAGAGGAGGAUGAUGACGACGUGGAUGAGGAUGACAAUGACAAUGAGGACUUCAAUUGUUAAUGAUUGGUAAGUUUUGUUAUCUUAAUAUAAAAUAAUUAUGUCUUUAAUUUACAUAUAAGGUACUAAUUUUUUUAUUAUUUUUUAAAAUCUAUAACUUUAAAACAAUCGUAGCUCAAUUGUUUGUAUAUCUAAUAACUCAUUAUUAAACAUAUAUAUUAUGUGUUAAUGCUAUGUAUUUCUUGCUAUAUAUUAUAGGUGAUAUCUAUCAUCAAAGGAAUCUCACACAAUCUCUUUUAAUAAAUAUGAACAUCUUUAGACCCGGGGGGGGGGGGCGUAUACGAAGUUUGCAUGGCCAAGCAACACCUAGCAGUGAACCUACGCCUGUCCCUGAUCAGCCUGUAGGACUUUCACCUUCGCCAGUACAGCCAGGAACAUCACAUUUCCCUACGCUAGGCAGGACCAUCACAUUCUCCUUCGACAGUACAUGUAGGACCUUCACAUUCGCCUUCGCCAGUACAUGCAGGACCAUCACAUUCUCCUUUGCCAGGACCUGCACCGCAAGAUUUGGCAGAUUCGGUUCCUACCAGAUACUCAUUUUCUGAGGUCCAAGAUGUUCGAAUAUUUAUUGUCCCUUACGGAGAUUCGAAGAAGAUGGAGAAGAUGCAGAAGAUUUAGUCAUGUUUGGAAUUUUGUUGAAAUAUGGAUGGUUUAGAACUUCUUAUGAUGUUUGGAUUUUGAUGUAUUAUAUAUUUGGCUUGUAAGGAUAUUAGAUCAUGUUUGUAUUUUCAUGUAUCAUAUGUUUGGAUUGUAAGGAUAUUAGAUGAUGUUUGCAUUUUAAUGUAUGGAAUGUUUGGA